GGAGUGAGUUGGAUGGUCGCUGGACGCGGCUUCGGUUGUGUCGAGAGGAAAGUCCGGGCUCCAUAGGACAGGGUUGUCGGUAACACCGACCGACCGUGAGGUCAGGGAAAGUGCAGCAGAAAGUAAACCGCCGAUGGCCACGAUGGGUUCGCCCGUCGCGGCACAGGUAAGGGUGAAACGGUGCGGUAAGAGCGCACCAGCAGCCAGGGUGACUUGGCUGGCUCGGUAAACCCCGCCCGGAGCAAAGCCAAGCAGAGAGAAUGCGGCCUCGGCCACAGCGAGCCUGUCCGGCUCGUCACUACUCUCGGGUAGGCUGCUUGAGGUGUUGAGCAAUCAACAUCCUAGAUAAAUGGCCGUCCCUCCUAGUGAGGACAGAACCCGGCUUACAGAUUCACUCCCUGG
rnacentral:RNase_P_RNA from 1 species